rnacentral:RNase_P_RNA from 1 species
CCGCCGAGAGGAAAGUCCGGGCAGCUCGAGCCACCAUGCUUCCUAACGGGAAGAGGCCUCGAGGGUAACCGAGAGGUCAUAGAAAGCGCCACAGAAAACAUACCGCCUUGCGAGUGGAAAAGGCUAUAGGCUCAUUCUAUAACCUAUAACCUUUAACCUAUAACCUCGCAACGGCAAGGGUGAAAACGCGGGGUAAGAGCCCACGACGCGUCCUGGCGACAGGCGCGAUGGCAAGCCUCAUGGGCUGAAAGACCAUGUAUACCGAUACGCCUCACGGCAGCAGGCCGGCUCGCCUGCACUAUCGGGGGGUAGGUUGAUAGAGACCGUCGGCGACGGCGGCCCCAGAUUAAUGAUAGGACACGACAGAACCCGGCUUACAGGCUUC